AAACCAUGAUUUGAACACUUUCGAAGCAAACUCUUGUAACGAUCCCAACACUCAUACAUGGAUUCAUCGUCAUCCUGGCAAAAAGAUGAUAUUUCAUUCCUUAACUGCGUAU